rnacentral:rRNA from 1 species
AUUGAACGCUGGCGGCAGGCCUAACACAUGCAAGUCGAACGGUAGCACAGAGAGCUUGCUCUCGGGUGACGAGUGGCGGACGGGUGAGUAAUGUCUGGGAAACUGCCCGAUGGAGGGGGAUAACUACUGGAAACGGUAGCUAAUACCGCAUAACGUCGCAAGACCAAAGUGGGGGACCUUCGGGCCUCACACCAUCGGAUGUGCCCAGAUGGGAUUAGCUAGUAGGUGGGGUAAUGGCUGACCUAGGCGACGAUCCCUAGCUGGUCUGAGAGGAUGACCGGCCACACUGGAGAUGAGAGACGGUCCAGGCUCCUACGGGAGGCAGCAGUGGGGAAUAGUGCACAAUGGGCGCAAGCCUGAUGCAGCCAUGCCGCGUGUAUGAAGAAGGCCUUCGGGUUGUAAAGUACUUUCAGCGGGGAGGAAGGCGGUGAAGUUAAUAGCUUCACCGAUUGACGUUACCCGCAGAAGAAGCACCGGCUAACUCCGUGCCAGCAGCCGCGGUAA